CCUGCCUCAGCCUCCCGAGGAGCUGCAACUACAGGCGCCCACCACCAUGCCUGGCUAAUUUUUUGUAUUUUUAGUAGAGACGGGGUUUCACCGUGUUAGCCAGGAUGGUUUGAACUCCUGAUCUGAAGUGAUCCGCCCGCCUCGGCCUCCCAAAGUUCUGGGAUUACAGGAGUGAGCCACCGCGCCCGGCCCUUUUUUUUUUUUGUGACGGAGUCUCGCUCUGUCGCCCAGGCUGGAGUGCAGUGGCGCAAUCCCAGCUCACUGCAAGCUCCGCCUCCCGGGUUCACGCUGUUUUCCUGCCUCAGCCUCCAGAGUAGCUGGGACUACAGGUGCCCGCUACCAUGCCUGGCUAAUUUUUUUGCAUUUUCGUAGAGACGGGGUUUCACUGUGUUAGCCAGGAUGGUCUUGAUCUCCUGACCUCGUGAUCCGCCUGCCUUGGCCUCCCAAAGUGUUGGGAUUACAGGUGUGAGCCACCGCGCCCGGUCGAGUUUUCUUCUUUAAUCUGGUGUUGAUCCUGAGAGUGCUUUGUUAAAAAACAUUCUCCAUGCUGACCUCCGUUUUCGAGUCCGCUUCCUGGGGAAACCUGAAACAGGACUUGAUGCUAGCAGCUGCCCAGAAGAACCAGAUGGGCCACUGUCCUUGCCAGAAGAUCUGAUAUCCUGUGUAUGGCCACCACCUAACACUGCUCACUUCUACAUGUAAACCUCAGGUAGGUGUGUC
rnacentral:lncRNA from 10 species